AAAACAAAAAGCAUUUAGACAAUGAUUUACUUUUUAUUUUUUCCCUCUAGAAGAAUCCAAAGAUGCACCAUCUUUAAAGAAAGAUAAAGAGGAAUCCAAAAGUGUGCCACCAGCUUCAAAGAAAGAUAAAGAAGAAUCCAAAGAUGUCCCAGCUUCAAAGAAAGAUAGAGAAGAAUCCAAAGAUGUUCCAGCUUCAAAGAAAGAUAAAGAAGUAACUGAUGAUGUAGCUUCACCAAAGAAGCAAAAAAGCCCCAUCAGUUUCUUUCAGUGUGUCUACUUGGAUGGGUACAAUGGCUAUGGAUUUCAGUUUCCUGUCACUCCUGCCCAACGCCCCGGAGAGAACUCUGGCAAACCAAACUCUCCAGGACAGAAGCAGCAAGGACAAUAGUCACACGUGCAUGACCCUGACAAUUGCUUUAACAUGGUAGAAAUGGAAUCUUCCCUUUUGUCCACAGUGGUACAGGCAAUUGAAACUAUCCAACACUGAGAUUUCUUUGUAAGCAUUCUAGUCUUCUGCCUGGCAUAAGAAAAUGGCAUGGACAAAAAGAGCUGACUAAUAAGCAAAUGUGUUAGAGGGUCUAAUGCUUGAGAAUCCAUCUAUGUGUCUGUUGUUGCGGGAGGGGUACUUACAUUUAGUGUUUCUAUUCCUGGUGAGGUUGUGUGCUCAUUGAAGUUUACUUUCUAUUGAUCUUUUCAAUGUAAUUGGCACAAUUACAAAAUGAAAUUUGUGGCUUUGGGUAGACAAUUUUUAAACUGGUAAUAUAGACAGUGCUCUAAUUUUAAAUGGUACAGGCACAUAUAUAAAAGUUACUCUUCUGCAUUGUGUGGGUAAACUCAGUUUACCCAAAGACCUGUGUGCGUCA